rnacentral:lncRNA from 1 species
GUUUUGGAGUGCAGGCGUGAAUAGUCCUUUCUGUCCUGCUUUGAGUACUGCUGUUGGGUGCCUUGGGGGGACCUUAAGGGAGCUCGGAAGUUGAGACGUGGUGAGUGCGAGAUCACUGCCCACAAAGGGGAGGAGCAGGCGGAUGAACAGCCAGAGCUGCAAUGGUGGAUCCUCCUCCAGGGCUGCAUGGGACGACAGAUAGAUGAGGCUCUAGGACGGGCACAAAUGCUACCCGAAUGCAAACCACUCCGGAGAUCUGUAAAAGGACUGGCCCCGGACAGGAAGCACACUUUAAACUAGAGGCGGGAGUCAAAGCCCCGGUGAAGAUUCUGUGACGGUUCAUUGUAUAAUUUAUGAUGAUGAAGAUUGAGUUGCAUUUUGCGGAAAAGAGAUGUUGAGAUAUCUAAGGCAUUGAGAAAUCUGUCAUGCAGACAUGCACACAGGGAGAGGGAGUACCCAAACUGAUGAGAACUUACAGGAAUUGGACCAUCUAAGCCCUUAGAAAGUGAAGUCCACUGUGUCUCAAACAAAGAUCUUCAUCCACAUCUUGAAGUUUGAAGUUUGGCCAAGAAUAUACAGAGUAGAUUCUCUUUCUCAGGAUGGCAAGUGUUCAUGACAUCAAUACUACCCAAGGCUUCAGAGUCAUUGGAUUGCAGGAUGCAGUAACUUAUGAUGAUGUGCGUGUGAACUUCACUGAGGAAGAGUGGGAUUUGCUGGAUCCUUCCCAGAAAAGUCUCUAUGAAGAGGUGAUGCUGGAGACCUACCAGAACAUCACUGCUAUAGGUAA